rnacentral:lncRNA from 1 species
CACACCAUUUCUACUGUGGUCUUUGAUUUUUUUGCUUUAUAGGGAUUAGCAUACAUGUUUCUGAAAAUUGAAAAGUCAGGAGAGUAGAGUUCUGUGGAUCAGCAUUCUAGAAUGAUGUGGCUGUGCUCUCUGCUGACAGAAUUGGUCGGGGAUAGACGUGCUCAAAGCAGGCAAUGAAAUCAUCCACUGAAGCAUGUGUGGUCCACGGUGGAGCUGGUGUUUGAAUCUUCCACUGCCUUUCCUCAGGCUGUGCCUUUAUUGCUUCCGCUCACACCUGGAAUAGGAUUUGAGUGGAAAUGUGAUUGGAGUAGAAGGCAUCAGGGAGGGAGCCUGAGCUGAGACCACAUCUUGAAAACACAGAAUUGAGGGAGCAGAUGGAAGAAAGAAAGUCAGC